rnacentral:misc_RNA from 1 species
GAUGAAGAACGCAGCGAAAUGCGAUAAGUAGUGUGAAUUGCAGAAUUCCGUGAAUCAUCGAAUCUUUGAACGCACAUUGCGCCUUCUGGUAUUCCGGAAGGCAUGCCUGUUCGAGAGUCAUUAACAACCGUUUCGAUCCCUUUCUUUCAGAAAUUACAAAGAGGAAAAGGGUUUGGUUAUGGUGGAGGAGGGAAAGGGAGCGUUUAGCCUGUAAAAAAAGAGGCUGUGUUCCGCCUCGCCCCCAAAAUUGUACAGGCGGUCGUGUGCGCCCACGCAUCGAGGUGUUGUAAAAGCUGCCACGGCACUUUUCACCUGUGCAGUGCGAGAUUGGCCAGCCGGUUUAAAAACCCCUCCAAACAAUCAAAGGUUGACCUCGGAUCAGGUAGGGAUACCCGCUGAACUUAAGCAUAUCAAUAAGCGGAGGA